ensembl:snoRNA small nucleolar RNA U13
AUGCUUCUGUGGUUCAUAAGCAUGAUGAAUGGGUUUUCAUGCUAUUUUGUACAAUAUUCCUCCCUCAAACCUUGUUACAAUGUCAGUACAUUACCCCUCUGACA